AUUGAACGCUGGCUGCCGGCCUAACACAUGCAAGUCGAGCGAGCGGCGGCCGGGUGAGUAAUGUAUGGGGACUUCCCGAUAGAGGGGGAUAACUACUGGAAACGGUGGCUAUUACCGCAUACUAUCGGAUAACCCAUAUGGUAUUAGCUAGUAGGUGGGGUAAAGGCUCACCUAGGCAACGAUCGCUAGCUGGUCUGAGAGGAUGAUCAGCCAACGUGGGAAUGAAGCACGGACCAGACUCCUACGGAGGCAGCAGUGGGGAAGAUUGCACAAUGGGCGCAAGCCUGAUGCAGCCAUGCCGCGUGUAUGAAGAAGGCCUUAGGGUUGUAAAGUACUUUCAGCGGGGAGGCGUUACCCGCAGAAGAAGCACCGGCUAACUCCGUGCAAGCAGCCGCGGUAAUAC
rnacentral:rRNA from 1 species